UGCCUCACUGUGCCCAUUUUACAGAUGGAAAAAAGUUUUCGUAAAACAUUCAUCUAGAUGCUUCCGAACAGUAUGUCCAGACCCUUGUGACUCCCAGCCAUGCCAGAACAGGGGGGGACCUGUGUCUCGGAGGGACUGGACAAGUUCUACUGCCUGUGCCCGGUGGGG